GAGUACCACUCUGCGUUCACAUGGCGCCGCGGUGUGAACACAGCUGGUGGUAUCUC
rnacentral:miRNA from 1 species